rnacentral:sRNA from 1 species
GCUGGGCGUGGUGGCACGUGCCUGUAAUCCCAGCUUACUUAGGAGGCUGAGGCAGGAGAAUUGCCUGAGCCCAGGAGGCAGAGGUUGCGGUGAGCCGAGAUCGCGCCAUUGCACUCCAGCCUGGGUAACGAGAGCGAAACUCCGUCUCAUUAAAAAAAAAAAAAAAGAAUUAUUCUGUUGCCCAGGCUGGAAUGCAGUGGUGUGAUCUCUGAUCACUGCAACCUCCACUUCCCAGGUACAAGCAGUUCUCCUGCCUCA